AUUUUCCCACAGGUACAGGCUGGUAAAAUCAAUAUGAUCUCAUUGUGGGUGUUCUCUGUCAGGAUCAACAAGAUGGGAAACUUUAAACUGAUUCAUUGCUGUACCUUACAAAAAACCACAUGUGACUUCUCUGCUAAUUGUUGUUACAAAACUAACAGGAGUUUAGGAAUGGGUCCAUAGCUAAAGGAUAUCUUCAGUCAUGAGCUGAUUAUAUGAGGAUUUAUCCUGUCCAGGGGAAUAGCAUAGAAGAAGAAGAAACAGCACUGUGAAAAAGAGAGAAAAUAUUAUUUUUUAUUUUACAUUUACAAUUGUGUUGAGGUUUGAUUCAAUAUGACAACCUAAUUUUAUUCUUUCUGAUUCUUUAGUUUGAUAUUGUUUUCUUGAUUUUUAUCUUUUUUCAUCUGCACACUAGUCCACAUUAAAAAUAAAAUCAGUGUCAUAUUCUGCUGUA